rnacentral:rRNA from 1 species
CUUCGGUUGUAAGCUCUUCGGCGGGACGAAAUGGUUAGGCGAAUAGCGCUGACUGAUGACGGUACCGUAAUAAGAAGCACCGGCUAACUACGUGC